rnacentral:rRNA from 1 species
CCCAGACUCCUACGGGAGGCAGCAGUGGGGAAUAUUGCACAAUGGGGGAAACCCUGAUGCAGCAACGCCGCGUGAGUGAGGAAGUAUUUCGGUAUGUAAAGCUCUAUCAGCAGGGAAUAGAAAAGAAGGUACCUGAAAAAGAAGCCCCGGCUAACUACGUGCCAGCAGCCGCGGUAAUACGUAGGGGGCAAGCGUUAUCCGGAUUUACUGGGUGUAAAGGGAGCGUAGACGGAAAGGCAAGUCAGAAGUGAAAGCCCGAGGCUCAACCAUGGGACUGCUUUUGAAACUGUCAAACUAGAGUACGGGAGAGGGAAGAGGAAUUCCUAGUGUAGCGGUGAAAUGCGUAGAUAUUAGGAGGAACACCGGUGGCGAAGGCGGCCUGCUGGACUGCAACUGACGUUGAGGCCCGAAAGCGUGGGGAGCAAACAGGAUUAGAUGCCCUCGUAGC